rnacentral:rRNA from 1 species
AUUGAACGCUGGCGGUAGGCCUAACACAUGCAAGUCGAACGGCAGCACAGUAAGAGCUUGCUCUUACGGGUGGCGAGUGGCGGACGGGUGAGGAAUACAUCGGAAUCUACUUUUUCGUGGGGGAUAACGUAGGGAAACUUACGCUAAUACCGCAUACGACCUACGGGUGAAAGCAGGGGAUCUUCGGACCUUGCGCGAUUGAAUGAGCCGAUUUCGGAUUAGCUAGUUGGCGGGGUAAAGGCCCACCAAGGCGACGAUCCGUAGCUGGUCUGAGAGGAUGAUCAGCCACACUGGAACUGAGACACGGUCCAGACUCCUACGGGAGGCAGCAGUGGGGAAUAUUGGACAAUGGGCGCAAGCCUGAUCCAGCCAUACCGCGUGGGUGAAGAAGGCCUUCGGGUUGUAAAGCCCUUUUGUUGGGAAAGAAAAGCAGCAGGUUAAUACCCCGCUGUUCUGACGGUACCCAAAGAAUAAGCACCGGCUAACUUCGUG